AACAUUUUUACUUAAAUAGCAUUUCACAAAAUUUAGAGUAGUUACUUCCUGUCCGCCAUGCUGCAUCGAACGCAACACCAAUAUAUUAUAUAGAUGAAAAAAAUUUUUUAAUAUAUUUGAUCGGAAGAAGUAAUAGUAGGCAACAGGAAAACACUUGUUAAAAAAAAUGUUCGCAUCGACUACAGGGGAAUUAUAAGAGUCAUGACGCAUUAAAAGAGGAAACCAUUCAAUGCAGGAUGAUGCGCUGAUUAUAAUAUUAUCGAUUUUGUCAUAACACUACACAAUAAAGACAUUAAACAAUUAUAUAUAUAUAUAUAUAUAUAUAUAUAUAUUGGCAAUAUAUAUCAAUGCAUUAAUUUAUUAGUUUAUCAUAUUGUUACUAAAUUAUUAAAUUAGUACAUUCCUUAAUCUAGUAUAUUACUUUAAAUCAUAUGUUUCUUAGAUUAUAUCUUAAAUUACAGACAAAUAUAAUCAUAUUAGAAUAAUGCAAUAUUAAAUUUGGUUAGAUUUCGAGUUUGACUAUUGAAACAUGAAAAGUUGAGAAAGUGCAUAAAGAUAUAAACAAAUCAGCUAUUAUUAAAUUAUUAAGAAUUGCAAUUUAUUUAAAUUUUAAAUAAUUUAAAUAUA